rnacentral:lncRNA from 1 species
GGACUCACAACACCUAACCCACAGUGGAAACAACAAAAUUCCCCAUUAAACACCUACUUCUCUCUUCCAACAUGUUCCUUGCCUGUCAACCGCACACCUUCUCCUUAUCUCCCCACAAGACAGAAUCUAAAUAUCUUGCUUGAUGCUCUGAGCAGUCCAGUCCACACCUUCAGCUUCAAACCCCAUACUGAAAAACACAGGGCUGGGGUCAGCAAAUGCCUGCCUGGCCUGACAGCUGGUGUGGUUCUGAAGCUCCACAACUUUGGCCUAAUCA